GACGAACGCUGGCGGCGUGCUUAACACAUGCAAGUCGAACGGAAAGGCCCUGCUUUUGUGGGGUGCCGGAGGGGGGAACGGGUGAGUAACACGUGAGUAACCUGCCCUUGAUUUUGGGAUAACUUCAGGAAACGGGGGUUAAUACCGGAUAGGAGCUCCUGUUGCAGGGAGGGGGUGGGAAAGUCUCGGCGGUCGGGGAUGGAUUCGCGGCUUAUCAGCUUGUUGGUGGGGUAGUGGCUUACCAAGGCUUUGACGGGUAGCCGGCCUGAGAGGGUGACCGGCCACAUUGGGACUGAGAUACGGCCCAGACUCCUACGGGAGGCAGCAGUGGGGAAUAUUGCACAAUGGGCGGAAGCCUGAUGCAGCAACGCCGCGUGCGGGAUGACGGCCUUCGGGUUGUAAACCGCUUUCGCCUGUGACGAAGCGUGAGUGACGGUAAUGGGUAAAGAAGCACCGGCUAACUACGUG
rnacentral:rRNA from 1 species